rnacentral:rRNA from 1 species
AGUGAACGCUGGCGGUAGGCCUAACACAUGCAAGUCGAACGGCAGCACAGUAAGAGCUUGCUCUUACGGGUGGCGAGUGGCGGACGGGUGAGGAAUACAUCGGAAUCUACUUUUUCGUGGGGGAUAACGUAGGGAAACUUACGCUAAUACCGCAUACGACCUACGGGUGAAAGCAGGGGAUCUUCUGACCUUGCGCGAUUGAAUGAGCCGAUGUCGGAUUAGCUAGUUGGCGGGGUAAAGGCCCACCAAGGCGACGAUCCGUAGCUGGUCUGAGAGGAUGAUCAGCCACACUGGAAGUGAGACACGGUCCAGACUCCUACGGGAGGCAGCCGUGGGGAAUAUUGGACAAUGGGCGCAAGCCUGAUCCAGACAUACCGCGUGGGUGAAGAAGGCCUUCGGGUUGUAAAGCACUUUUGUUGGGAAAGAAAAGCAGCAGGUUAAUACCCCGCUGUUCUGACGGUACCCAAAGAAUAAGCACCGGCUAACUUCGUG